UACAGAGGGGGGCAAGCGUUGUUCGGAAUUACUGGGCGUAAAGGGCGCGUAGGCGGCUUUCUAAGUCGAACGUGAAAUCCCCGGGCUCAACCCCGGGCUUGCGGUCGAUACGGGCAGGCUCGAGUUCGGUAGGGGAGACUGGAAUUCCCGGUGUAGCGGUGGAAUGCGUAGAGAUCGGGAAGAACAUCAGUGGCGAAGGCGGCCUGCUGGGCUGUUGCUGACGCUGAGGCGCGACAGCGUGGGGAGCAAACAGG
rnacentral:rRNA from 1 species